rnacentral:rRNA from 1 species
AUUGAACGCUGGCGGCAGGCCUAACACAUGCAAGUCGAACGAGUGGCGGACGGGUGAGUAAUGUCUGGGAAACUGCAUGAUGGAGGGGGCUAACUACUGGAAAAGGUAGCUAAUACCGCAUACAAUCGGUUGAGCCCAGAUGCGAUUCGCGAGUAGGUGGGGUAAAGGCCCACCUAGGCGACGGUCCCUAGCUGGUCUGAGAGGAGGACCAGCCACACUGUAACUGAGACACGGUCCAGACUCCUACGGGAUGCAGCAGUGGGGAAUAGUGCACAAUGGGCGCAAGCCUGAUGCAGCCAUGCCGCGUGUAUGAAGAAGGCCUUCGGGUUGUAAAGUACUUUCAGCGGGGAGGCGUUACCCGCAGAAGAAGCACCGGCUAACUCCGUGCCAGCAGCCGCGGUAAUAG